GUUGAGAGAGCACUUUAGUCACUUGAGUGAGUGGAGGUGGUUUAAACUGCAUUAUUAUGUUGACUGCUUAUUAAAGAAAACGAGACUUCGAGAUCCUCUGUCCAACUUUCAUGACUCGAACUCUCCUGUCAGAUUUAUCUAUAAACCUGGUUGAGCCCUGAAUUUUGAUUUGUCAUAUAGCACAGAUCCCUUCUCCUUCAUGUGCAGUCUGAACCUGGCCUCUUUGGUUUAUACAGUGAUGAUAGUGAAGAGCAUGGUGUACUGCUGUGGGCUCUCUCUCCUGCUGCACCACAGGAACAUGGGGAAGUGGACACAACACCUGUAGAAAGGAUACCACCCAGUAUGGAUCGAGUUGUAGUAGGCUGGGAAAAACAUGGAUUUUACAUCCCAUUGAGGUCUAACAUUUCAUUUGUAGGCCAAUUUUCUUAUUUUUUUUAGCUUUAUAUUUAAGAUGCUAAAAUAUUGUG
rnacentral:lncRNA from 1 species